rnacentral:rRNA from 1 species
GACGAACGCUGGCGGCAUGCCUAAUACAUGCAAGUCGAACGAGCUUCCGUUGAAUGACGUGCUUGCACUGAUUUUAACAAUGAAGCGAGUGGCGAACUGGUGAGUAACACGUGGGAAAUCUGCCCAGAAGCAGGGGAUAACACUUGGAAACAGGUGCUAAUACCGUAUAACAACAAAAUCCGCAUGGAUUUUGUUUGAAAGGUGGCUUCGGCUAUCACUUCUGGAUGAUCCCGCGGCGUAUUAGUUAGUUGGUGAGGUAAAGGCCCACCA